rnacentral:precursor_RNA from 1 species
GCUGAAGUAAGAAGAUCUCGUGCUGUGACCCUCUAGAGGGAAGCACUUUCUGUUGAAAGAAAAGAACAUGCAUCCUUUCAGAGGGUUACUCUUUGAGAAGAGCAACGUUUAGUUU